GCCGUUGCUUCAAUUAUGCAUCUGCCACGAAUCACACGCAAACAUUAUUUUUUCUUCUCUUUUCAUUGAUGUCUAAAAAUGAUAGGUUUAAUGUCUUUAUUUGAUGUAUUGGUGCUUACUAUACAGUUAUGUAUCUUAGUUUUACUUGUAUCUACCAAUAUAUAGUCAUUUUACAAACUUUGCAAAAUUUUCAAAAAUAUUUGCGUAGCGCCAGCCAUUCUCGUUACGUUAUAGCCGUUAUAAGCCUGUUUCCGCUACCCACGGCCGCGACCGCAACGGCGAUUUUAUACCAUGGCCAAUAUUCAACAGAUUUAUUUUACUACAAGAAUUAUGUUGAUCUCAGCAUUUUUUGAACACACAGCAUUUUCUUUAAGUAUUUUGUUUGUAUCAUUACAAUCCCUCAAGAAAUUGCUAAAGAAUGUUGCCAUUCCAGUGCAUCUUCUACCAUCACAAUGGAGACAUUUUUCUUCCUUUUGACGGGUCAAUUAUUUGACUAAAGCAAACAAAUUUUGAUAAAUCAAAAGGCAAUUUUUUAUCCAGCGCACUGCCCAACAAAGGAGCUAGUUUUAGAGUAAAAUUCAUAAUACAACCUCUUACACACUAUUGUAUAUGCUAACUUUACAGAAGACAAAUUUUCUUUGUAGGAUUAUUUCUCAGCUUUACAGAUCUCAUGUUCUUCUAUUUGUAACAAUUUAACUACAGCCUAACUGCAAGACAUAACAUUGCAGAUAAAGAUGGCAGCAUAGAAGCAUGGAUCCAUAGUUUUCAGAUAGGAAUUACGUAAAUUGCUAAAGUUCCUUGAACUGAUUUUAGAUGACAGUCACUAGGGUGAAGACACAAACCGGAACUCUCUAGCAUCUGUAUCUUUACCUAUUAGUAUCCCCUUGUUCUCAAAUCACAUAUUAAAAUUAGACAUCUAAUGAUAGCACAUCUGCUUUCUUGCGAUACUUCUACCAUAUUUCUGUCUGUGGUGUCAUACAGUCAGUACACAACUUAAUACAUUGCAAAAUGAACUUACAUUUCCAUUAUUUAUAUGUCCGGCUUCGCACAUGUCGAUGAUGCCUAGGUAGGGGAAUACUAUGAAAAUUAUAGAAUAUAAAGAGACAUUCACCAAUAAAACCCUUCAAAUAAAUGUUAAUACAAAAUUGAAAGCCACCAAUUAUGCAUGUUCCAGCUAAGCAGGGGUUCCAGUAGGUUCUUCUUGAUACAGUCCUAACCUUACAGCAGUUUGCAUGAAGUGGCUGCUUUCAAGACUUCACCCACACACUUAGAUUUGGCAUCUCAAAUCUCAAUGCUUCACCAAUGCACCAGAAAAUGGCUCCAAGACUCAAAAAUGAAUAAAAGAAAAAUAGUUUAUACAAAUGGGGACAUAAACUUAUGCAAAUGAUGACAUUUUUAGAGUAACCUUGCUAGGUGGAAAUAGCACCAAGUCUUCUAAGAUGGUUGCAAUUCAUUCUGUUUCUAUAAAUAACUCUGAGAAUACCAAAUAAAUACCAACGUGCCUCUCAAGCAUCAUCUCACAUGAGCAUGGCACAAGCAUAACCUCACAACACUAUAACCAAAAUUUUAUAAAACUUUCUACCUUAUAAAUUUAGGAAAUUGUUCCUCCCCACAUCGCAUUCAUCAUUAUAAUCUCAUUGUUAUUAAAGACUCAAGGCGCACUGAGGCACCAGGGGGUCCUGGAGCCUAGGCGCGCACCUGAGCGAGGACAGGCGCAAAAAUAUGAAAAAUUCAUUAAAAAUAAAUUAUAUAAUAAAUUCAUUAAAAAUAAGCACCAUAAAUUUAAUUAUUAUAUUAGUAAUCAUAUGAAAAUAUAUUAACC
rnacentral:misc_RNA from 1 species